GGAGAGAAGGUGUCUGCGCGGGGCAGAGGCUUCAGGGCUAGGCCUCACGGGGCAGCGGUAGCCCUCCACUCAGUUUAAGAAGAAGCGCCAUUUUGUUCCCUUGGUGGGGGGCUCAGGGGCAUUAUAAUUUUCUCUUUCUGACUUAAUUAAAUGGAAUCACUUCUAUUGGGGGGGGGCGAGAGAAAUUUUCUCCCUUGCUUAUAUGAGGUUGAAUUCCUUCAGGGACAGGGAGAGGUUCGCCAAUUGUUGCUGCUUCAAAAUACCAUGGGUAGAAGCCAACUAAGCUCCUACUUACAGUAGACCCAUUAAUUACUGAGUCUACUCUAAAUAGGACUUUAGUUGGAUUCCACCCAUGAUCACAGUUAAGAAUAUUUCGAUUUCCCCUGCUUUGUCUUUUUAAUUUUUAUUUGGGAUGAAAUGGAUCCCUUGCGUGCCGCUCACGUUUUGUUGCAGCAGCAAAUACAAAAUGGAAAUUGCUUACACCACAGAUGGGAAAGUUAGAACAUGAAGACCCAACGUGAGGUAUCAAGAUGUUUCUUUCCAGGAUAACCAGGUAACCUUUAAAACAGUUUUGUUAAAACAGGAGAGGAGGGGAAAAUUGGUGUUCAUUAGGACACUGUUACUGGGAAAUUAUAUGUUAUUAACAACUGAAUAAACUGCUACUGUGAUCAUGAAAACUGCUGCUAGAUUAACCAGUUUGCUUGUUAAAUCCAUUGACCAUGUUCAGAUGACACACUAAGCAAUUAUCAGUGGAGAUUGUGGGCUCUCCCACACUAGAGGCAUUCAAGAGGUAGCUUGACAACCAUCUGUCAGGUUUGCUUUGACAUGGAUUCCUGCAUUGAGCAGGGGGUUGGACUCUAUGGCCUUAUAGGCCCCUUCCAACUCUACUAAUCAAGGAUUCUAGGAUUUUAAGCUAAAUAUGAUUUAGCAUAUCGUCUGAAUCAUUCCUAACUGUGGAGGCUACAUAACCACAAUUUAAGCAUGCUUAUUAAUCAUUUGCUGCAAAAGAGUUAGCAGCCUAACCAUGUGUUAGUGUGUUGUCUGAACUGGCCAACAAUGUCCUUGAGCAUAUGUGCCGUCAGCCUUGCUCACAUGUGUGGAAAAUGUGUUGUGUAAACUAGCUCUAAUAAAAAUCUGGAUUUCGUGCAUAGUUCAUUUAUAGAAAAAGCUUAUUUUGCAUACAUAUAAAAUAACAGAUCCUGUUCUUCCUUAAAAAAUUUCAAAACAGCUUAUAGGUCCCAGUUGGUCUUCCACCCUAAUUCCAGUCUUAAAACUGGAACCCCCAAUAAUUUCUUAAGAAAACUUGGGACAUUCCACAAUCCCUAAAGGGAAACAGUUAUUGAGAAUGUUGAAAUAUAAAAGUUAAUUAUAGGCACAGCAGUUAAGAAUAAAGUCAUACAGUAUUGAAAAAUAGAUUACAAAUAAAGCCAUUUCCUUUGUAUUUUAGUUAUGUGAAACAAAAAUUCCAGCUAGUUUUUUUCAUCUGGGUUGUUUGUGUGAUGUCUUAAGCUAUGUUUAACUUACCCAUUUGCAACUUAUCCAUCUAGUGGACAAAUUUCCAGGCAGAAUACCUUUGAACAUGCUUGUGAUGGCCAGAAUGUGUAAAUUUUGACAUCUUUAUAGACAACAUAUUGUACAUUGUUUCCUGAUUUGUAUAGAUAAUAAAUGCAUACUUUG